rnacentral:rRNA from 1 species
CCUACGGGUGGCAGCAGUGGGGAAUAUUGCACAAUGGGGGAAACCCUGAUGCAGCGACGCCGCGUGAGUGAAGAAGUAAUUCGUUAUGUAAAGCUCUAUCAGCAGGGAAGAAAAUGACGGUACCUGAGUACGACGCCCCGGCUAACUACGUGCCAGCCGCCGCGGUAAUACGUAGGGGGCAAGCGUUAUCCGGAUUUACUGGGUGUAAAGGGAGCGUAGACGGCAGUGCAAGUCUGGAGUGAAAGGCGGGGGCUCAACCCCCGGACUGCUCUGGAAACUGUACGGCUGGAGGGCAGGAGAGGUAAGUGGAAGUCCUAGUGUAGCGGUGAAAUGCGUAGAUAUGAGGAGGAACACCAGUGGCGAAGGCGGCUGACUGGACGGGAACUGACGUUGAGGCUCGAAAGCGUGGGGAGCAAACAGGAUUAGAUACCCCAGUAGU